GCCCGGCUAGCUGUCGGUAGAGCAUGAGACUUAAUCUCAGGGUCGUGGGUUCGGACCCCACGUUGUGCG
rnacentral:tRNA from 1 species